ensembl:lncRNA
AUUUAUUUACAAUCCAAGGCAGCAGAGCCAUCAAAUUCACAUGUAACUAUAGUGUCCCCUUUCCAGUGUUAACAGUUUCCAGAAGCUGACAUUUCAUUUGUGCGUAUGUAUGUGUAUUUUACUCAAGUUGGGUUCUCCCACAAAAACAGGGAAGAGCUAUUUACAGGUGAGACUAGUCUGCUUCCUUAUGCCCUGAGGGUUUGGUGAGGGAGGAGCUCAGGUUUAAAUCUUCAACGUCAGCCUAACUGCCUCUCGCUGCAGGAUUUCUCUGAGCUCCUUGUGGAGAGAGGAAGUUCCUGGGACCUCUGUUCUGAGAGCAAACACUCACGAUGGGGAGGAACUCAGAACCACUUUGUAAAGAAGUAUGACAACAGGAGCAGAGACAUGGAUAUGGAAAGAGCUGAAGACUUCAGGACCCUUCGAGCAAAAUUCCAAAAUGAAUCCAGCAAGCCCUCAGGAGAAAUCAGCCUACGGCAACAUCUUGGUGCCAGUUCAACACCUUCUCCUGAACCCAAGACUGUGCAUCGAGUACAACCUCCAGAAAUCAUCCCACGGCAAGGUCCCACUUCUAAGGCUGCCCCUUGUGCCAAGCCCAGGUCCUCACACCUGUCACAAGUCCCAGAUCAUGAGCAAAAGCCUGCAUAUAUCAGCUUAGCAGCAGCUGAAUCACAACUCAGUGGCACAUCCCAGAAAUCUGAGACAACACCUAUCAAACCUAUGGUCCUGCCCAGAGUCAAACUUUGUGAGUUGUCUGAAAUAAGGAAAAAGAAUGAAAAGAAAGCUACGGAGUCUCCAGAAACUCCGUGGAAAGCAUCUGUGCCUGUGGCCCAUCCUCAAAAACAACGUCCAGUGUCCUGUGGCUACUCUCAAGAAGCCGGGUUAGCAGAUCAUUCUUUCCACAGCACUCUGCGCAUUUGGGAAAGUGCUGCAGCAUUUCAGGGAGACCAGAUGUCUUCCACAUUGCCACCCCAACGCCCAAAACGGACAACAUCUCUUGCACAGCUAAGCACUAGCAAUAAUAAUUCUGUCACUGUGGAGGAGAAAGCUGAAAUGUGUGAAAAUGUCCAAGCCUUGACACUUGCUGCACCACAGAAGCCUUCUCAAGGGGACCUGACUCCUUUUCCCGCGGUGUCACCACCUCUUCCACCGAGGGGCCAAACAGGUUCAGAGAAUUUGACACCUGGAGGUCUUAAAAUUAUAAAUUCUUCCCCCAGUACUAAUAAGAUGGGCAGACCAAGCAAGACUCUGCAGUCUUUAACUGAAAGGCAAAAUGAUGCUGAAGAACUCAAGCUUCCAAAAACUAAGCCACUUCCGUCCAUUGUAUCACUUGGUCCUCCACCAAAGAAACCAGCAAGGCCUCCCAAGGUAGAUCUUAGUCCUUUCUGUCGGAACCUUCCAGAUGCUACAGAUGAUGCAUAUAUCACUCCUGAAAUAACGGAUGACUUGAACAUGUAUGAAGAAUCAAUGUCUUACCUGACCCAGCCAGAGAGUUCCAUUAAUUCUGAUCAGGAACUUGCACACCGUGAGUUCUAUCAAUUGCUUCCUUCCUUCACACAUUCCAUUGUUAGCUAUCUAUUUCCAGAGUACAUCAGUUUGUAGUAAGUAUAAGCUUGGCUAGCCCUGCAGUGGGUAGCAAUGGAUAUCUUCAGUAUGAUGUUUUACCCCACAAUUCCACAUGAAAAUACAUGCACACUGUUGUGUAUUUCUGUACACAUUUCUCUUAAUUCUUAUUUGUAUAUAUUUGUCCAACACACAUUUUUUACAAGCAUUUCUCCCUAAUGUAUUGAAAUGUUCUACUAGCGCUGUAAUCUUGUUGUGGAGCUAUGAGUACAUAAUAUGAAGCUGCCUCAGCAGUAGGAAGAAUCACAACAAGGUAAAAGUGCUAUUCACAAAGCAUUUCUGCAUGCUUGUUGUGCAACGGGCACACUGUAAACUAUGUGACUGAUUGCACAACCAAAGAGUGCAAUGAUUACUGUUUGGAUGUAACACUAGGUAUACUUAUGCUGGCAUAACUUUAUGUUACACCAAAAUGAACACUUGUUUUAAAUGUGUUUUAGUACUGAUUUUGUUUACCAUUUUUAUAUAUACUAUUUGUUUCAUUUUUUAAAAGAUUUGUAUGCUUACUGUUUUCAGCUUUUAAAUACUGUCUUUUUAAUUAUGUACGUUACCUUGGGUCCUUUUAAAAGAGAAAGGCAGGAUAAAAAUAUUUUCAAUAAAUAAAUAAAUGCACAGUAAACA